rnacentral:rRNA from 1 species
ACUCGACUACAUGAAGCUGGAAUCGCUAGUAAUCGCGAAUCAGAAUGUCGCGGUGAAUACGUUCCCGGGUCUUGUACACACCGCCCGUCACACCAUGGGAGUUGGUAACGCCCGAAGUCAGUGACUCAACCGAAAGGGGAGAGCUGCCGAAGGCGGGACUGAUAACUGGGGUGAAGUCGUAACAAGGUAGC